rnacentral:rRNA from 1 species
UACGAAGGGGGCUAGCGUUGCUCGGAAUUACUGGGCGUAAAGCGCACGUAGGCGGUCUUUUAAGUCGGGGGUGAAAUCCUGGAGCUCAACUCCAGAACUGCCUUCGAUACUUGAAGACUUGAGUCCGGGAGAGGUGAGUGGAACUGCGAGUGUAGAGGUGAAAUUCGUAGAUAUUCGCAAGAACACCAGUGGCGAAGGCGGCUCACUGGCCCGGUACUGACGCUGAGGUGCGAAAGCGUGGGGAGCAAACAGG